CUCCAGGCUGCCUGGUGCCAGGUGAAUGGUACCAACAAACUUAAUGGAAAAAAAGAAGCUCUCAUACUCCAAUGCAACUGAAUAUGAGGCAGCAGCAAGAAGGAAUGACUUACUGAGAUGUGCACAGAUACAGAUGACUCUCAAAAGCAUUCUGCUGGACUUGAAGAGCUGUGCAGUGUAAUUUCAGUUGUAAACUAGCUGUGUGUAUGAAAGAAAAUGAGCGAAACAGGAGCACCUGAGUCAAGGC